CCGGGCGGCAGCGCACGGAGGAGAGGAAGGGACCGGCCGGGCCGGGAGGGGAGGGGAGGGGAGGGGACGGGACUGGGGACAUGAACGGCUCGGCGAGCACGCCGCUGGACAAGGAGGAGCACCCGCUGCAGCUGGGCGAGAGCUUCGAGCGGCGGCCCAAGGCCUUCUUCCACACGAUCCGCUAUGAUUUUAAGCCAGCAUCGAUUGAUACAUCUUGUGAGGGGGAACUCCAAGUGGGUAAAGGAGAUGAUGUAACAAUCACUUUACCACAUAUUCCAGGUUCAACUCCACCAAUGACUGUGUUUAAAGGAAAUAAAAGGCCAUAUCAGAAGGACUGUGUGCUUAUUAUCAAUCAUGACACUGGGGAAUAUGUGCUGGAAAAACUUAGUAGCAGCAUUCAAGUCAAGAAAACAAGAGCAGAGGGCAGUAGUAAGAUCCAAGCCCGAAUAGAGCAACAGUCUGCCCGAGCAUCUCAGCCUCCUUCACAGUUCAGAGCCCCAACCAAGCCAGCAGUUGGACCUAAAACUUCUCCUUUGAAAGAUAAUCCUUCGCCUGAGCCUCAGCUGGAUGACAUUAAGAGAGAGCUGAGAGCAGAGGUUGAAAUUAUUGAGCAGAUGAGCAGCAGCAGUGGAAGCAGCUCAUCAGAUUCAGAAAGCUCAUCUGGGAGUGAAGAUGAAAGCUCCAGCAGUGAGGGGGAAGAGCCAGCACAUGUUUCCCCUUCCCAGCCACCACACCAGCAGUAUAACAACAGGAAUGCUGUUGCUAAUGGCACCAGCAGGUCACAAGGAAGCAAUCAGCUCAUGAAUACGCUCCAGAGCUGAGACCUGUCUGAAGGUGUGGAGAUCGCUUCAGUUUGGUCCAGAGCACCUGUGGGCAUCAGUGCAGUGGCCCCCAUUGACUGUGCUGAGCCUUGAUUCAGGCCUCCAGGAAAUGACUUGCAGUUGAGUGAGUCUGGGAGUGACAGUGAUGACUAGAGGCUGAGCUUUUGCUAUUUCUGUUACAUAUACAUGAAGAACUAAUUUACCUUGAAGUGAUCCUAUUGCUUAUGAAGAGGAGCUGGCACAGAGAUAGUUCCCUGUGUGGAAUUUUAAUACAAGAAGUGCAUAGCCCUACAAAAUAGCAUAUGUUGAGGGCUGGUUUACUUUGUGAAUUCAGUGUAUAUUUUGUGUAUAUUCUUAUUCUUUUAAAGCUUUAAAUAGAUAUGUACAGUGGAUAAGCCAAUACAUGUUUCUCUGUUCCUGUCCACCAUCUGUAAGUUUAAUGUGUACCUGUAUCAUGUCAUCUAAAAAGUUCUUGUUUGUAGAAGAUAUUCAGCCCAUCGUGGCUUUAUGGGGGACUUUUGUAUAUAGGGUGAGCAUGAGCCAACAAUGAGUUUAAAAAAACAUGCAGGAGCUAGUGUGUGCACUGAAGUGGGACUGUCAUAAAUUAAGUUUCAAUACUAAGUUGAUUUUUUUUGUUUGGGACUUUUCUAAUGUCUUUUUAUUGCUGUUUAGGGUUGAUUUAAUGGACUUACUUUUAAACAGUUGGAAAAUAGAAAUCAUAAAACCACGUUCAUCACAAACCUUGCUGCACCAGUGCCUUAUAAGCAGGUUUUUUAAAUAGUGCUUCAAUUCCUGCCACCUUUCCUAUAGGGAGCAAUAGUGAAACCUCCUCAGAUUGCUUUUGCAAACAAGAGCUGUAUUUCACAUACAGCCCACUGUACCCUGAGGGCAGUUACUCUAGCAAGAUGAAGGAUAUACAUCAGUCACCUGAACACAUCCAAAUAAGAACCAGAUCAGCAUUUUCUUUUGCAACUGAAGUGUCUCAUUUAACUUGGACAUUAAGACCUAGUCUUCAGAAAUGUUUAGGAGCCCAGUUACCAGUGAAAUUGCAGUGUCACAAAUAUAAGAUACUGGACUUAACUGAAAUUGUAAGACCAGAGCCCUCUUCACAGUUUCCUAGAGAAUGUAGAAAGAAGAGAUGACUAAACAAUUAACUGUGAAACAGCAGAAGUCUCUCUCCCACCACAGUUGUCCAGGUAGACUUUAGUCCAUAUUGUUUGUUGGAUGGGAUCUCUGUGCUUGGCAGGAAUACAGAGAACAUGAAAUAUUUGCCUAGGGUGAAAUUCACCCCUGUUUAAGGGGGUUUAAAGGGUGCUUAGUUGGAUUAUCAUUAACUUUUUUUGCUUGCGUGGAAAAUGAGUGCCACAGGCAGCUUCUUAUAGCUUGAACACCAAGCUGACUUUUUAAAACCAAAAUUCAACUGACAUAGGACAAGUGGUGCUGUAGUUGUGGUGUAAUCCAGGGGAAUAGGAAGCUGAACUGGAUGCCUCUCCAUUUUUAAGUGUCUGCUUUGCACUGCUUUUGUCUUUCUGUUAGUUUGUGUUUUAAUGCCUGUUUGUUUACUGAGCUCUUUCCUUUUUUUCUUUUUUUUUUUAAGGUGUUGAAGAGCAAGGCGACAUUUGAAGGGAGAUUUUAUUAAAUGGUUUAUUUUUUUUGCAUAAGAUACAUAUUUGGGCAUAUUUUUGCAUCAUUGUACAUACAUUUAAAAAUACUUGUUUUUUUAAAAGUCUUUGUGAUGUGGGUGCAUAUUUUAACAGACAAUUAUGAAAUAUACUUGAUGGAAAGCCAGAAUUGCUCUCCCUUUUUUUUUUUUUCCUCUUUCUCCCCCCCGUUCCUCCUCUGACAGUGAAAGUGCUCGUUUUAACAAGCUUGUACCAAUUUGGGAUUUUACACUUUGGUGCAGGAGAUCUGCAUGGUAGCUGGGGUUCUAAUUAAUGCUAAUACUGCUCCUGUCUUUUUCCCCAGCUUAAGAUCUAAAUAAGCAGGGAGACAUUUCUCUGAUGCCUUUUCCCCAUUGCUGGAGCUUAUUCCUGAGUUCUGUUGACAUUAUUUGCACUUAAAUGGAAAAGCAGCAGUGGAGCAUUUUCAUUGCUUAUCAUUCACUGGUUGCUCAUGUACUCUGAGAUCCAGGACAUGUCAUGAGAAGCUUACUAAAUAUGUGUAAAUAAAAUACAUGAAACUUAAGAGGGUAAGACAACACCAGGCUACAUUGAUUUGAAUCGCCAGUUUAAUUAUGGUGUGGAUCAGCAAGUGGGAUUCAUUCAGAUAAUCAAUUGCUGCCUUGUUUUGUAUUUGUACUCUAGGUCGUGUUUCCCUGCUAUCCCUUCCUAAAAGAUUUCUUCCCCUCCCUUUUUAUUGGUAACCAAAUCAGCAUAUUUUCACAGAACUACACCACUUUUAAACUACAUUUGGCCAUCCUUUGCAUCCCCUGGAGAUGCAUCGUAUCAAGGGCAGCCAACCUGUUGUUUGUGAGCUGUUUAGCUGCACAUUGCACACCCAGACUACAGCGUCUGGCUGCCCACAGGGCUGGUGAGUAACAUGGUGGCCCACAGCCCACUUGCGGGCGUAAACAGGCCAGUCCCUACACGUGUGUGACCAGCCCGUCCCCUCCCUGCCACUGUGUCCCGAGUGGCUCCUGGCAUCUCCUGCCUGAGAAGCUCCUGGGAUCUCCACCCUUCGCACAGCUCUCUUAGGUAUGUGGAACAUGUUUUGUGAAGGUGAACCAUGUGGAGGCUUCAGUAGGCAACUUUUAAGAUCAGAAAGGGUGGUUGCAACUUUCUGUCCUUUUUCUAAAUACACCUGUGAGUGUGUUUUAAAGCCAUUGCCAGCCUGACAUUUUGAUUUGGGCUCUUAAAAUUUAAUGUUUCUUAUAUUCAGAAAUAGUAAACAUUGUCUAUCCUAUUAGAUGGUUGUUCAUUUGUUCAUGAUUUGUGCCAAGUUUGAUUCAGAUGGAAAUUGGAAUUCAGAUUACUUGCAGAAAAGCAGUUAAGUGUUCUUUUAAUUAGUUGGCAAUAUCUAUAACAUGUAUUCAGCUCUGGGGCCCCCAAUAUAAGAAAGACAUGGACCUGUUGGAGCGACCCCAGAGAAGGACCAUGAACAUGAUCAGAGGGAUUCUCCUAUGAAGACAGGCUGAGAGAAUUGGGGUUAUUGAACCUGGAGAAGAGAAGGCUCGGGGGACACCCUGUAGCAGCCUUCCAGGACUUAAAUGGAGCCUACAAGAAAGCUGGUGAGGGACUUUUUCCAAGGGCAGGUAGUGAUAGGACAAGGGAUAAUGGCUUUAAAUUGAAAGAGG